rnacentral:rRNA from 1 species
GACGAACGCUGGCGGCGUGCUUAACACAUGCAAGUCGAACGGUGAUGCUCCAGCUUGCUGGCGUGGAUCAGUGGCGAACGGGUGAGUAACACGUGAGCAACCUGCCCCAGACUCUGGAAUAAGCGCUGGAAACGGCGUCUAAUACUGGAUACGAAACUGGCCCGCAUGGGCAUGGUUUGGAAAUUUUUUCGGUUUGGGAUGGGCUCGCGGCCUAUCAGCUUGUUGGUGAGGUAAUGGCUCACCAAGGCGACGACGGGUAGCCGGCCUGAGAGGGCGACCGGCCACACGGGGACUGAGACACGGCCCAGACUCCUACGGGAGGCAGCAGUGGGGAAUAUUGCACAAUGGGCGAAAGCCUGAUGCAGCGACGCCGCGUGAGGGAUGACGGCCUUCGGGUUGUAAACCUCUUUCAGCAGGGAAGAAGCGAAAGUGACGGUACCUGCAGAAGAAGCACCGGCUAACUACGUG